AUCAAACUGUUUACUUUUUAAAGCAAACAGCUGGGGGAUUUCAAAUGGAAAUAAAGGACUGCAUUGGACAAGCCCUAGCAGACCUCGUGGUACAGAUGGUAGACCCUGCCACAGCCCUGGAUCCUGAAUGAAUGUAUAGAACGGAACCACCACUCCAAUCCCACACUACUGCUUACAAGUGACACGAGUAAGAAAUAAAUUCUAAUACAUCAAGCCAGCAUAGACUUUGAAAUUGUUAUAGCUGCUGUUAACACAACUAAUACAGAAAUUGGUACCUCAAGAUGGUAACUACUACAAUGAAUAAGGCACUAGUCCACUUUUAUUUAUAUUUAUUCUCUGGAGCCUUGUCUUUUGGAAUACAAGAAUGACAGCAACAACAAAAAAGAAUUUAUCUUAAUGAAGAGCAUCAAAAUAGUUGGGAUAAAAAAUUAAUACGCAUACAGGAAGAAAAUAAACCCCAAAUCCAAAUUGCUUGGAAUAAUUCAUAAUUAAUGUUAAUGUAAACCAACUGAUGAAAAGCAUUUGCCACAGUAACUUCUAAUGCAUGUAUUUAAUCAUUUUAGUUUGAUGCUAUCAAUAAGUAAUAAUAAAUUAUUUUUAAAUCCUGC